rnacentral:ncRNA from 1 species
UUGAGCCGUACGAGAUGAAAUUCUCAUAUACGGUUCUCGGAGGGGGAUUCGGGUUAGUUACCUAUCUCAAU